AUUGCUUUUCGGACUUUUGAAUAAAAUCAAGUGUAGUAUGUGUUUUUAUCAGUGUAAUAUGUGAUAUGGUCUCUAUUCAGGGACUAUAUAUUAAAUUGGUUUUUGUAGUUAGAAGUUGGAAUAGGGGCUUGUUACGUCGGCUUCACACAUCGGUUUGGUAUUGCAGUGUUUCCAAGAACGAUGC
rnacentral:snRNA from 1 species